rnacentral:rRNA from 1 species
UCACUGGGUUUAAAGGGUGCGUAGGCGGGUUUGUAAGUCAGUGGUGAAAUCCCCCAGCUUAACUGGGGAAGUGCCAUUGAUACUGUUUGUCUUGAGUAUAGUUGAGGUAGGCGGAAUAUGUCAUGUAGCGGUGAAAUGCUUAGAUAUGACACAGAACACCGAUUGCGAAGGCAGCUUACUAAACUAUUAUUGACGCUGAGGCACGAAAGCGUGGGGAUCAAACAGGAUUAGAUACCCUGGUAGUCCACGCCGUAAACGAUGAUUACUCGAUGUUGGCGAUACACAGUCAGCGUCUAAGCGAAAGCGUUAAGUAAUCCACCUGGGGAGUACGCCCGCAAGGGUAAACUCAAAGGAAUUGACGGGGGGCCGCACAAGCGGGGAGCAUGUGGUUUAAUUCGAUGCUACGCGAGGAACCUUA